rnacentral:rRNA from 1 species
GUCUACAGCUGUACCACUCUGAACAUACCCAAUCUUGUAUGGUCUCAGAAGCUAAGCAGGGUCAGGCCUGGUUAGCACUUGGAUGGGAGACAGAUCUUCAAAAGAGACUGCUAAAGACA